AAGGGCAGGUAAGGUAACAGAGAAGGGCAGGUAAGGUAACACAGAAGGGCAGGUAAGGUAACACAGAAGGGCAGGUAAGGUAACACAGAAGGGCAGGUAAGGUAACAGAGAAGGGCAGGUAAGGUAACACAGAAGGGCAGGUAAGGUAACACAGAAGGGCAGGUAAGGUAACACAGAAGGGCAGGUAAGGUAACACAGAAGGGCAGGUAAGGUAACACAGAAGGGCAGGUAAGGUAACACA